AGAGCGAACGCUGGCGGCAGGCUUAACACAUGCAAGUCGAGCGCCCCGCAAGGGGAGCGGCAGACGGGUGAGUAACGCGUGGGAACGUACCUUUUGGUUCGGAACAACACAGGGAAACUUGUGCUAAUACCGGAUAAGCCCUUACGGGGAAAGAUUUAUCGCCGAAAGAUCGGCCCGCGUCUGAUUAGCUAGUUGGUGAGGUAACGGCUCACCAAGGCGACGAUCAGUAGCUGGUCUGAGAGGAUGAUCAGCCACAUUGGGACUGAGACACGGCCCAAACUCCUACGGGAGGCAGCAGUGGGGAAUAGUUGGACAAUGGGCGCAAGCCUGAUCCAGCCAUGCCGCGUGAGUGAUGAAGGCCCUAGGGUUGUAAAGCUCUUUUAACGGGGAAGAUAAUGACGGUACCCGUAGAAUAAGCCCCGGCUAACUUCGUGCCAGCAGCCGC
rnacentral:rRNA from 1 species